GAUGAACGCUGGCGGCGUGCCUAAUACAUACAAGUCGAGCGAACAGACGAGGAGCUUGCUCCUCUGACGUUAGCGGCGGACGGGUGAGUAACACGUGGAUAACCUACCUAUAAGACUGGGAUAACUUCGGGAAACCGGAGCUAAUACCGGAUCAUAUAUUGAACCGCAUGGUUCAAUAGUGAAAGACGGUUUUGCUGUCACUUAUAGAUGGAUCCGCGCCGCAUUAGCUAGUUGGUAAGGUAACGGCUUACCAAGGCAACGAUGCGUAGCCGACCUGAGAGGGUGAUCGGCCACACUGGAACUGAGACACGGUCCAGACUCCUACGGGAGGCAGCAGUAGGGAAUCUUCCGCAAUGGGCGAAAGCCUGACGGAGCAACGCCGCGUGAGUGAUGGAGGUCUUCGGAUCGUAAAACUCUGUUAUUAGGGAAGAACAAAUGUGUAAGUAACUAUGCACGUCUUGACGGUACCUAAUCAGAAAGCCACGGCUAACUACGUG
rnacentral:rRNA from 1 species